CUGCCAACAUGAACUGUGCAAAACCCGGGACAAAAAGAAAUGGAAAGCAGGAACACCAGAAUUCUUCAAAUUGGAGAAAGUCAUGUUGAACAAGCGAAUCCUGACAGCUGUGGAAAAAAUCAGUCCCCACCACCAAACCUCAUCUGUGGAGGCUUUCCACAGUGUCAUCCUUCAUUUUGCACCCAAGAACGUGGUUUUUCCUUUUCUUGGAAUGCUGUGCAGACUCUACUUGGCUGUACUCUACUACAAUGAGAAUGCUGACCGACCACAAGCCAAAACUUCUGCUGGAGAACCAGUCUUCAAGGUGCACUUCCCAAAGGCCAAGAAGGGAGAGUGUGUGGCUAAACCAGUUCAGACUGAGCCAACUUUUUACUAUGUUCAGGACUUGAUGGAUCUGAUCUUCGAAAAAGUCUUUGUGGACCCGGCGCCUUACAUGGAGGAGGUAAUUCAGAUUCCCAUCCCAAGAGACUUGCGAGCAGAGUAUGUGCGACCAGACAAAGAGGAGGUCAUCGCAAGCUAUGUCUCUCGCUUCAAUCAAGAGGGAGAAGCUUGAAUCCUACGUAUCUGCCUUCUGGAUCCGGAAAUUCACGGCAUAUACGAAGACCCACACAUGCUGGAACAACCACCCAUACCCUCCGUCCAAGGAAGCCCCAAUGCCAUCCAACAAAGCUUUGAUAUCCCACAUACCUGAAACGCCUGAAAAAACCAAGUGUUAUAACACAUUAAUUAUUUUACAACAUUUUUUACAUUCAGGUGUCCUGAAAAGCCCAAAAGCAACUUUUAGUUAACAUCUUAUUUUGAACUGUAAUCUCCUGUAAAUAUUGUAUAUAUAUUUUCAUUUUGUUUUCUAUUUGGGAUUUUUAAAAUAUGUGCAUGUUUUCUAUUUUUUAUAUAACUUUGGUUUGAUUUGAUCACUGUUUUUAUACUCAUUUAUCUUGUGAUUGUGAGAAAAAGAACACUGAUGCUGCUUUUUUGUCUGUUGCAAAUAAAAGCACCACUCAACAAAUUUGUUUCAUUUCA